rnacentral:rRNA from 1 species
UGCCAGCCGCCGCGGUAAUACGAAGGGCCCGAGCGUUGCGCGGAAUCACUGGGCUUAAAGCGUACGUAGGCGGAUGUGCAGGCACCUUGUGAAAUCCCUCGGCUCAACCGAGGAACUGCUUGGUGAACCGCAUAUCUUGAGUUGAGUAGGGGCUGUCGGAACGAUAGGUGGAGCGGUGAAAUGCGUUGAUAUCUAUCGGAACGCCAAAGGUGAAGACAGGCAGCUGGGCUCAUACUGACGCUGAGGUACGAAAGCGUGGGGAGCGAACGGGAUUAGAUA